CCUGCCGAGGGGUGCUGCGACGGACGGCCCUGGAGCCUCCGCCACGCUCGGUGGGAACGCUGGUUCAAGGGCGCCCUUUGUGA
rnacentral:ncRNA from 2 species